rnacentral:rRNA from 1 species
AAUGAACGUUGGCGGUGCGCCUAACACAUGCAAGUCGAGCGGAAGUAAUUCAGCGGCAGACGGGUGAGUAACGCGUAGGAAUCUGCCCUUUAGUGAGGAAUACCUUCGAGAAAUCGGAGUUAAUACUGCAUACGUCCCUUCGAAAGAAGGGAGAAAGAUGGCCUCUUUGCUGUCGCUAAAGGAUGAGCCUGCGUACUAUUAGCUAGUUGGUAGGGUAAUGGCCUACCAAGGCGAUGAUGGUUAGCCGGCCUGAGAGGGUGAACGGCCACAUUGGAACUGAGACACGGUCCAGACUCCUACGGGAGGCAGCAGUGAGGAAUAUUGCGCAAUGGGCGAAAGCCUGACGCAGCGACACCGCGUGAAGGAUGAAGGCUUUAGGGUCGUAAACUUCUGUUAAGUGGGAAGAAAAGAGUAGUCCUAAUACGACUAAAAAAUGACGGUACCACUAGAGAAAGCACCGGCUAACUUCGUGCCAGCAGCCGCGGUAAGACGAGGGGUGCAAACGUUAUUCGGAAUGAUUGGGCGUAAAGGGUGCGUAGGCGGUUUAUCAAGUCAACUGUUAAAUUUCUCAGCUUAACUGGGAGUAUGCGGUAGAAACUGAUAGACUAGAGGGUGGAAGAGAGAAGUAGAAUUCUCGGAGUAGCGGUAAAAUGCGUAGAUCUCGAGAGGAACACCGAUGGCGAAGGCAGCUUCUUAGGCCAUUUCUGACGCUGAGGCACGAAAGCGUGGGGAGCAAACAGGAUUAGAUACCCUGGUAGUCCACGCUGUAAACGAUGAUCACUAGACGUUAGUCACGCUUGCGUGAUUAGUGUCGCAGCUAACGCGUUAAGUGAUCCGCCUGGGGAGUACGGUCGCAAGAUUAAAACUCAAAGGAAUUGACGGGGGUCCGCACAAGCGGUGGAACAUGUGGUUUAAUUCGACACUACGCGAGGAACCUUACCUAGGCUUGACAUGCAUAUGACUGUCCUAGAAACAGGAUUUUUUAAGCGAAAGCUUAGACAUAUGCACAGGUGCUGCAUGGCUGUCGUCAGCUCGUGUCGUGAGAUGUUGGGUUAAGUCCUUUAACGAGCGCAACUCUUGCCGUCAGUUGCUAUUCCGUAAGGAAGCACUCUGAUGGGACUGCCUGGGAAACCAGGAGGAAGGUGGGAAUGACGUCAAGUCCUCAUGGCCCUUAUGCCUAGGGCAACACACGUGUUACAAUGACUGGUACAGAGGGUCGCAAUUCCGUAAGGAGGAGCCAAUCCUUAAAGCCAGCCUAAGUUCGGAUUGAGGUCUGCAACUCGGCCUCAUGAAGUUGAAAUCGCUAGUAAUCGCGUAUCAGAACGACGCGGUGAAUACGUUCUCGGACCU